AUUGAACGCUGGCGGCAGGCCUAACACAUGCAAGUCGAACGGAUCGGCGGACGGGUGAGUACUGCCUAGGAAUCUGCCUGGUAGUGGGGGAUAACGUCCGGAAACGGGCGCUAAUCCCGCAUCCUAUCAGCUGAGCCUAGGUCGGAUUAGCCAGUUGGUGGGGUAAAGGCCUACCAAGGCGACGAUCCGUAGCUGGUCGGAGAGGGUGAUCAGUCACACUGGAACUGAGACACGGUCCAGGCUCCUACGGGAGGCAGCAGUGGGGAAUAUUGGACAAUGGGCGAAAGCCUGAUCCAGCCAGGCCGCGUGUGUGAAGAAGGUCUUCGGAUUGUAAAGCACUUUAAGUUGAGAGGCGUUACCAACAGAAUAAGCACCGGCUAACUUCGUGCCAGCAGCCGCGGUAAUAC
rnacentral:rRNA from 1 species